rnacentral:rRNA from 1 species
CCUACGGGAGGCAGCAGUGAGGAAUAUUGGUCAAUGGUCGGGAGACUGAACCAGCCAAGCCGCGUGAGGGAUGAAGGUACAGAGUAUCGUAAACCUCUUUUGUCAGGGAACAAAGGCGGGGACGUGUCCCCGGAUGAGUGUACCUGAAGAAAAAGCAUCGGCUAACUCCGUGCCAGCAGCCGCGGUAAUACGGAGGAUGCGAGCGUUAUCCGGAUUUAUUGGGUUUAAAGGGGGCGCAGGCGGUCUGUUAAGUCAGGGGUGAAAGGCCGGGGCUCAACCCCAGGACCGCCUUUGAAACUGGCAGUCUCGAGUUGGAGAGAAGUAUGCGGAAUGCGUGGUGUAGCGGUGAAAUGCAUAGAUAUCGCGCAGAACUCCGAUUGCGAAGGCAGCAUGCCGGCUCCACACUGACGCUGAUGCACGAAAGCGUGGGUAUCGAACAGGAUUAGAUACCCGGGUAGUC